rnacentral:rRNA from 1 species
UACAGAGGUCUCAAGCGUUGUUCGGAUUCAUUGGGCGUAAAGGGUGCGUAGGUGGUGCUGUAAGUCAGGUGUGAAAUCUCGGGGCUCAACCCCGAAACUGCACUUGAUACUGCAGUGCUCGAGGACUGGAGAGGAGAUUGGAAUUCAUGGUGUAGCAGUGAAAUGCGUAGAUAUUAGGAGGAACACCGAUGGCGAAGGCAGGUCUCUGGGCCAUAACUGACGCUGAGAA